rnacentral:rRNA from 1 species
AAACGAUUGAAGUCAGUCGUGUUUAUUGGAUUCAGCCGGUCUUCGGUGUACUUCCUUUAAACGGGUCAACAUCAGUUUUGUCCGGUGGAUAAAGGCAGUAGGAAUGUGGCUCCCUCGGGAGUGUUAUAGCCUAUUGUCACAUACACUGGAGGAGACUGAGGACUGCAGCUCGCCUUUUGGCCGGGGUUCGCCCACGUUCGAGCUUAGGAUGUUGACAUAAUGGCUUUAAACGA